rnacentral:rRNA from 1 species
CCUACGGGCGGCUGCAGUGGGGAAUAUUGCACAAUGGGCGCAAGCCUGAUGCAGCCAUGCCGCGUGUGUGAAGAAGGCCUUCGGGUUGUAAAGCACUUUCAGCGGGGAGGAAGGCGGUGAGGUUAAUAACCUCAUCGAUUGACGUUACCCGCAGAAGAAGCACCGGCUAACUCCGUGCCAGCAGCCGCGGUAAUACGGAGGGUGCAAGCGUUAAUCGGAAUUACUGGGCGUAAAGCGCACGCAGGCGGUCUGUCAAGUCGGAUGUGAAAUCCCCGGGCGCAACCGGGGAACUGCAUUCGAAACUGGCAGGCUAGAGUCUUGUAGAGGGGAGCGGAAUUCCAGGUGUAGCGGUGAAAUGCGUAGAGAUCUGGAGGAAUACCGGUGGCGAAGGCGGCCCCUUGGACAAAGACUGACGCUCAGGUGCGAAAGCGUGGGGAGCAAACAGGAUUAGAUACCCGAGUAGUC